UAUAUAUAUAUAUAGACACACACACACCAUAGCAUAAAGAAAAUAUAUUUACAGAAAUGUAUUACUAUUUUAUGGAGGAGCAUUGACCAGUAUUUUGCUCAUCUUGCUUCAUUGUAAAUGGUCCUUGUUGCAUCCAGCUCCCACGCGUGAGGAUGCUUCCUGAGCUUCGGCUCGAGGACCUGCAAAAAAAUACUGUUGGAGUGUUUUUCGACGAAAACCCUCCGACGUUCAAGUCAAAAGAUAGAAAACAACGAGAAUGAGAAAACAGAAGUUGAGGGCUUACCCUGAUGGGUCACCACGCCCCUCUAUUUAUAAAGGAGAAGUUGGAGCCAUGCACGCCAUGGAGUCUUGACCGAUCUCCAAUUAUUGUGCAUACAUUGGGCUGGUAGGAGUUUUUUCCUUUUGAGGUGUGACCCAAUUGCGGAGAUAUUUUCUCUUAUCUAGACUUUUCCCAAACCGAAAGUGGGGUGGAUCCUGUCAAUAGAGCUUGCUGUGUGCCAUAAGCAUAGAUCGGCUCUGGCCGAUCUGAAGGUACUUCGGCCAGGCCAAGGUAAAUAUCUAGGCCUUAGCCUUAGUCUAGCCGUCCGUGUGCCCCUGUUGAUUUCUUCUGGCUGCUGAAGUCCCGAUCUUCGAGGUUCUUUGGUUGAUGCUAAGGAUGCGACCGGCCAAGGCCAAGGUGGAGAUCCCAACAGCCCUAUUGUGGCUUCCCUCUUAAUAUGUUUUCUUGAUGAAUAAGGGAUGCUAGAUGGCCACCCAGCUUUUAUUAGAGAUAGGAGAUAUUUACAGCAAGGAAGAAGAAGAAGUGGAUAUGCGAACCAGUUCCCAUUCCUACAGGCAACAGGACAGCAGGAAUUUCAGUAAAGAUUACAGAGCCUUAUAGAUCAAAAGACUAGUGCCAACCUUGAGGGUACAUAAGACAGGAUUAGAAAAGCUGUCUGAAGGUGAGGAAAAGAAAAAAACUCAGACAUCCUUGAGCAGACCUGGUGCCAUUUUGAUUUUGAACCAGAUUUUUGCAUGCUCAGAUAGAGAACACCCAUCACAAAGAUUGGACCAGAAGGUUGAGCAGAAGGAGAGCUUCAUAAGCCACAGUUGAAACAGAAGCUUGCUUGUUGAGGAACAAUUUGCCGUUUCGCUCCUUCCAACAGCACCAAGUAAGUGCUCCAAUUAGCAAGAGAGCCACAGGCCUGGCUGAUUUGGAGAAGUUCCGCCUUUAUCUAGACCAUGCAGAGUUCUUCCAAGGUCCCGUGGGAAGGUAAAAGCCCGAGAAAAUUGCAGCAAACUCUCCAAAUAGCAAUGAAGAAAGGGCAGGAGGAGAACAGAUGGUCGAUUGUCUGAACAGGGCUUUGGCAAAAAACACAGCCAGCUAAAUUCUUUCCAAUUUUCCUACCCAGACCAAAGCGAGUGUUGAUUUUGUUUUUCCAACAGAGCCAAAGGAAACACUUCACUUUUAAUGGGGCUUUGAUAUCCCAAAGAAAGGGGCAAAUCUACACUUGACACCCCUUGAUUUUAAGAACUUGUACAUAGGGGCUAUAGAGAAAGAACCAUUGGGACCGAGCUGCCAUUCAAUAGAAUCAUCUUCAUUAAUAAGGUUACAAUGAGCAAGCAAGCGAGGAUCUCAAGAGGUUGAACUGCAGGUGGAGUUCACUGGAAUGAAGGGUAGAAAAUCUGAAUUUCCAAGACAAGGUUUGUCCAUUGAAGAAGUCCGCCGUUGAACCAUUUUUCUUGGCGCUGCACUCAAAAACUAAUGGACAAAUGUUCUUCAAGGGAGCAUCACACGACCAUGAAUCCUUCCAAGACGGGGUAUUUUUUCCAUUCCUAACCUUAAAAUGUACUCUGUUCCAAAAAGCUGGUAGGGAUUUAACAACAUUUUUCCAAAAACUCAAGCACCUAGCAAGGUGGGUGGGGUACACCUAGGCAGUUUAAUUUUUCUAUGAUAUUCAAAUUCAAUUUGCUUACUCCACAUGCGCAGGUCAUUUUUUAUGUUAUCUCCAUUCCAUUUCGACAAAAGCACGGUGUUAAGUUGGUUGAUAUCCUUGUGCCUAAACCUCCUUCCUCCUUUUGAAGACAAGUGCUUUCCCCAUUUACUUUGCAAGACAGACCACAGAAGUGCCAAUCCACAGAAAAGAUCUUCUAAGUUUAUCAAUUUUCUUAAUAACCUAUGAAGGAAGCUUUAAAAGAAACAUAUAAUAAAGAGGGAGGGAGGUAAGUUCUGAGUUGAUCAGAACAAGUCUUCCGCCAAAGGAGAGAUAUUUGCUUUUCCAAGAUGCCAACCUAGUUAAUUUUUUGAAUCAGAAACAUCCAAUCAGCUUUGGACGGUUUGGUACUAGAUAAAGAUAGCUCCAGGUAUUUGAAAGGUGUCUCAAUCUCAGUACAAUUCAACCAAUUUGCACAGAUUGAACUACUUUCCCCUUCCAAAUGCUGACCAAUAGAUGCGACACAGCUUUUCUGGUAGUUUAUGGCAAAUCCUGAGAUGAGCUCAAAACAAUAUGUAAUGACCUUUUAACACUGCAAAAAAAAAUUUUUGCUUCUUGAGAAAAAUCAGUGUAUCAUCAGCAUAUCGAAGAAUCUUGGCACCGCCACAAAUCCAAGGAUCCCCCAAGCCUUCAUAAAUUUUACAAGAAGCUGCCAAAUUCAACAUCCUGGCAAGUGGGUCCACCAACAAAAUAAAGAGGAGAGGGGAGAGAGGAUCUCCUUGUCGAAGGCCGCACCGACAAAAAAUCCAAUCAAGCUCCCCAUCAACACUCACCACGGUCCUACCAGAGAAGAGAAGAGUGGUUGUAGGGGAUCAGACAUGAGUUAUCAGACUGAAACUUGUGGUCACUAAUGAGGGAAGGUGCAGUGCUAUGAUUCUCUGCUGGCUUCUGGGAAAUGGAUGCCCUUUCUCAUUUAAUAGCAUGUUCACAACCAAAGAUUACUAUGUCUUCCUCUAUCUGCCUUCCACCGGCACUGUAAUUUCAUAUGCAUAAAUGGAAUUGGUUGGCUGUUUGGCCCAUAUGCAAAGGAUAUUAAAAAAAGAAAAAAGAAACAUUACAUUAUCAUUUUAUUUCUACUAAAACCUGAAGAGGGAAGACCAUCAGAUUUCUGCUCAUGACUGAAGUCCAAGGUUGGUGGCCUCUCGACCAGUUUUCAGCUCAGUUUUUUCUACAGUGUAAUUACGUUUGUAGACAUCUGGACCCCUUUUUUUGAGGGUAAAAAACUUACUCAAGAAUUUGUAUUUUUUUGGAUUAGUAUUUGGCAAUAUUUAGAUAAAAAAAUAAUUUAUUCAUAUUCUUUUUUGCAUUGGAAAAUGGCUCAGAAAUCUGUUACCCGUUUUCUUUUGCAUUACUAGUUUUUUGGAUAAGUUGCUAAGAUAUCUAUUCAUAUUUUUCAUAA